rnacentral:rRNA from 1 species
CAGUAGCCGCGGUAAUACGGAGGGGGCUAGCGUUGUUCGGAAUUACUGGGCGUAAAGCGCACGUAGGCGGCUUGGUAAGUUAGAGGUGAAAGCCUGGAGCUCAACUCCAGAAUUGCCCUUAAGACUGCCGAGCUAGCAGGUGAGAGAGGUAAGUGGAAUUCCGAGUGUAGAGGUGAAAUUCGUAGAUAUUCGGAAGAACACCAGUGGCGAAGGCGGCUUACUGGCUCAUACUGGACGCUGAGGUGCGAAAGCGUGGGGAGCAAACAGGAUUAGAUACCCCUGUAGUCCCUGUCUCUUAUAC